AGUGAACGCUGGCGGUAGGCCUAAUACAUGCAAGUCGAACGGCAGCACAGUAAGAGCUUGCUCUUACGGGUGGCGAGUGGCGGACGGGUGAGGAAUACAUCGGAAUCUACUUUUUCGUGGGGGAUAACGUAGGGAAACUUACGCUAAUACCGCAUACGACCUACGGGUGAAAGCAGGGGAUCUUCGGACCUUGCGCGAUUGAAUGAGCCGAUGUCGGAUUAGCUAGUUGGCGGGGUAAAGGCCCACCAAGUCGACGAUCCGUAGCUGGUCUGAGAGGAUGAUCAGCGACACUGGAACUGAGACACGGUCCAGACUCCUACGGGAGGCAGCAGUGGGGAAUAUUGGACAAUGGGCGCAAGCCUGAUCCAGCCAUACCGCGUGGGUGAAGAAGGCCUUCGGGUUGUAAAGCCCUUUUGUUGGGAAAGAAAAGCAGCAGGUUAAUACCCCGCUGUUCUGACGGUACCCAAAGAAUAAGCACCGGCUAACUUCGUG
rnacentral:rRNA from 1 species